AUACGUAGGUCCCGAGCGUUGCGCGGAGUCACUGGGCGUAAAGCGUCCGCAGCCGGCUCCGUAAGCGGGAUUUCAAAGCCCACGGCUCAACCGUGGAACGGCAUCCUGAACUGCGGAGCUUGAGGCACGCUCAGGCAGGCGGAAUUCCCGGGGUAGCGGUGAAAUGCGUAGAUCUCGGGAGGAACACCGAAGGGGAAGCCAGCCUGCUGGAGCUGUCCUGACGGUCAGGGACGAAAGCCAGGGGAGCGAACCGGAUUAGAAACCCUGGUAGUCC
rnacentral:rRNA from 1 species